CUCCAACCCAUCAUCACCUUCGUUUUUAACAUUGCUCCCUUCAUCUUUUCCACUACCGGUGUAAGGACCCUGCUGGAAAGAGUACCUACAUUGCAGCCAAACCAAGUAAACCUAAAGCGAUGGAGCCCCUCACACCAGCAGCCUACAGAGGCCCCGUCCCCAUACCGCCACAAAGGCCGACAAAGACCGCUAACAGCUUUCCUAGUGGAGACAAUCAAGCUAAAAGUAUCAAAGCUCUAGUGUCCAACCUAAAUAAUACAGCAGCAAAUCAUAAUUCUACAGAUUAUGCAUAUGUGGACAGUUUAAAGAACACUGUUAAAGUGGAAGAG